rnacentral:rRNA from 1 species
AGUCGAACGAAGCACUUUACCUGAUUUCCUUCGGGGAUGAUUGUUCUGUGACUGAGUGGCGGACGGGUGAGUAACGCGUGGAUAACCUGCCUCACACAGGGGGAUAACAGUUGGAAACGACUGCUAAUACCGCAUAAGCGCACAGCACCGCAUGGUGCAGUGUGAAAAACUCCGGUGGUGUGAGAUGGAUCCGCGUCUGAUUAGCUGGUUGGCGGGGUAACGGCCCACCAAGGCGACGAUCAGUAGCCGGCCUGAGAGGGCGACCGGCCACAUUGGGACUGAGACACGGCCCAGACUCCUACGGGAGGCAGCAGUGGGGAAUAUUGCACAAUGGGGGAAACCCUGAUGCAGCGACGCCGCGUGAGCGAUGAAGUAUUUCGGUAUGUAAAGCUCUAUCAGCAGGGAAGAUAAUGACGGUACCUGACUAAGAAGCUCCGGCUAAAUACGUGCCAGCAGCCGCGGUAAUACGUAUGGAGCAAGCGUUAUCCGGAUUUACUGGGUGUAAAGGGAGCGUAGGCGGUCCUGCAAGUCUGAUGUGAAAGGCCGGGGCUCAACCCCGGGACUGCAUUGGAAACUGUAGGACUAGAGUGUCGGAGGGGUAAGUGGAAUUCCUAGUGUAGCGGUGAAAUGCGUAGAUAUUAGGAGGAACACCAGUGGCGAAGGCGGCUUACUGGACGACUACUGACGCUGAGGCUCGAAAGCGUGNGGAGCAAACAGGAUNAGAUACCCUGGUAGUCCACGCCGU